rnacentral:misc_RNA from 1 species
GUUUUGAGGUAACAUUCAGAAUCUGCUUCCACAUUUUUGGCAUUGUUAUAGUGAAUCAUGCAUGCAUUACUUUUAUGCAUGGACUGGCAGCCAUAAUAAGUCCUGCAAUUACUCAUUGAUGAAAGUUGCAUAUUCCUUUAUUUCAUGUUGCAAAUUUGUUAUAAGGGCACUGUUCCCUCUCCUGUCCUUAGUAUGAAUAUUUCUGUUUGCUUUUCUGUGCUACUUGAAUCUUAGGUACCAGCUUUACAAAGGUUUA